AAUGAACGUUGGCGGCGUGGAUUAGGCAUGCGAGUCGAGCGAGAACCGUAGCAAUACGGGGACAACGGCGAAAGGGAGAGGAAUACGUGGGUACCUACCCUCAGACUCAGGAUAGCCGUGGGAAACUAUGGGUAAUACUGAAUAAUGUCUUCGGACCACAGGUGUGAUUCCGUUCGAGGAGGGGCACGCGUCCUAUUAGCUAGUUGGUGAGGUAACGGCUCACCAAGGCGAAGAUGGGUACGGGAUGGGAGAGCAUGAUCCCGCUCAUUGGGACUGAGACACUGCCCAGACACCUACGGGUGGCUGCAGUCGAGAAUCUUCGGCAAUGGGGGAAACCCUGACCGAGCGACGCCGCGUGCGAGAUGAAGGCCUUCGGGUUGUAAAUCGCUGUCAGUGGGGAGGAAGUGCAGGUGGGUUCUCCCAUCUGUUUGACCUAUCCGCAGAGGAAGGACGGGCUAAGUUCGUGCCAGCCGCCGCGGUAA
rnacentral:rRNA from 1 species